rnacentral:rRNA from 1 species
GAUGAACGCUAGCUACAGGCUUAACACAUGCAAGUCGAGGGGUAACAAGAGAAAAGCUUGCUUCUCUUGUUGACGACCGGCGCACGGGUGAGUAACGCGUAUCCAACCUGCCUAUAACUAGGGAAUAACCUUGCGAAAGUAAGACUAAUACCCUAUGAUUUCCUUUGAUGACAUCAGAUUAGGAAUAAAGAUUUAUCGGUUAUAGAUGGGGAUGCGUCUGAUUAGCUUGUUGGCGGGGUAACGGCCCACCAAGGCAACGAUCAGUAGGGGUUCUGAGAGGAAGGUCCCCCACAUUGGAACUGAGACACGGUCCAAACUCCUACGGGAGGCAGCAGUGAGGAAUAUUGGUCAAUGGGCGAAGGCCUGAACCAGCCAAGUAGCGUGCAGGAUGACGGCCCUAUGGGUUGUAAACUGCUUUUAUACAGGAAUAAAGUUAGCCACGUGUGGUUAUUUGUAGGUACUGUAUGAAUAAGGACCGGCUAAUUCCGUGCCAGCCGCCGCCGUAA